UACAGAGGGGGCAAGCGUUGUUCGGAAUUACUGGGCGUAAAGGGCGCGUAGGCGGCCCGCUAAGUCGAACGUGAAAUCCCCGGGCUCAACCCGGGAACUGCGUCCGAUACUGGCAGGCUUGAAUCCGGGAGAGGGAUGCGGAAUUCCAGGUGUAGCGGUGAAAUGCGUAGAUAUCUGGAGGAACACCGGUGGCGAAGGCGGCAUCCUGGACCGGCAUUGACGCUGAGGCGCGAAAAGCCAGGGGGAGCCAAACGGGG
rnacentral:rRNA from 1 species